rnacentral:rRNA from 1 species
UGGGGAAUUUUGGACAAUGGGCGAAAGCCUGAUCCAGCAAUGCCGCGUGUAGGAUGAAGGCCCUCGGGUUGUAAACUACUUUUGUACGGAACGAAAAGACUCUUUCUAAUAAAGAGGGUCCAUGACGGUACCGUAAGAAUAAGCACCGGCUAACUACGUGCCAGCAGCCGCGGUAAUACGUAGGGUGCAAGCGUUAAUCGGACUUACUGGGCGUAAAGCGUGCGCAGGCGGUUAUGUAAGACGGAGGUGAAAUCCCCGGGCUCAACCUGGGAACGGCCUUUGUGACUGCAUAGCUAGAGUACGGUAGAGGGGGAUGGAAUUCCGCGUGUAGCAGUGAAAUGCGUAGAUAUGCGGAGGAACACCGAUGGCGAAGGCAAUCCCCUGGACCUGUACUGACGCUCAUGCACGAAAGCGUGGGGAGCAAACA